AAAACAAUUGAUAACUAAAAAAUCAACUACAAUUUUCAUUAAAUAACAUCAAGCAAAGUAUAACUAGGUAUUCCAAAAAUAAAUAUAAAAAAAUUUAAUGAGCUACAAAAACUCAAAACGAAAACAAAUAAUAGAUUGUCAUGCAAUAUCAUAUUCACAUUAAACUUGCAGAAAUAUUAUUUCUUAGAACUUCCAUUUCUCUUGCUUCAGGUCGUGUGCGGCUGCCCACGCUCGCGCACGAGCCUGCCCAUGUCCGAGCAAGGCAUGCUGCGCACACUCACGAGGAAGGCAGCGCAAGCUCGCGCGCGAGGCUACCCAUGCUCGAGCGAGUCAAGCAGCGCACACUCAUGGGCAAGGCAGCGCGCUUUCACGGGAUGAGUUUUAUUGCACAUCAACCCGUGCGGCACUUAGGCGACUUCUAGCGCACAAGUCGCUAAGUAAGUCUAGAACACUUCUCAAACUAGCGGAGCAAGAGCGCUUGCGGAAAGUGCUAGAGAGAAGUAGAGCAAUGUGGCCAAAAUAUGUUUUUUAUUACACACAAAGAAUAAAUUACAAGAGAGCUAGAGAGCUUGUGUGUGUGCUUGAGUGUUUGUGUGUGUGGUGUGGUUGGUGAGCUUUGUGGACAAAUGAGCGGGCUCACCCAUAUUUAUAGGUGUUGGAGUGCUAGAUCUAAAGAGUUUCAUGCAAGUUGCAUACAUAUCUAAGGACCUAUGUGGAGAAUCCUAGAAACUUCUAGCCUAUGUACAAUUUGUAGAGAAGCCUAGAUCUUGGGCCUUGGUGGGUGAUUUGCUAAGCGCACCACAGAUGACUUGUUGUGUUAGCGGCCCAUUUCUAAGUGCAACCCACUUCUAAGUACAUCCCCCUUCUAAGCGCACUCCACGUCGAGGCGAACUUUUGCUAAGUGGACCUGUGUGCCUAGAAUUAACCUUCGAUUGCGGGAGAUUUGGGCGGCCUGGGACAACGCACUCGCCACCAAGGCACGAAGCCCACGCUUGCGCGGGUGGUACUGCACGCUCACGGGAGGAAGUCGGCCUAGGCUUGCGUGCGGCAUGCAGCCCCCACUCGCGCGGCAAGCAACACAGGCUCGCAGGGCAGGCAGGCAGCGUGCACUUGCGAGCAAGCCAGCUCGCGCCCGGUAGUGGCAGAUCUAGAAAAAUAAUUUACCGAGGGCUAAAUUAGAUAAUAAUAAAAUAUGAAAAACUAAAAUUU
rnacentral:lncRNA from 1 species